rnacentral:rRNA from 1 species
GACGAACGCUGGCGGCGUGCUUAACACAUGCAAGUCGAACGGAAAGGCCCUGCUUUUGUGGGGUGCUCGAGUGGCGAACGGGUGAGUAACACGUGAGUAACCUGCCCUUGACUUUGGGAUAACUUCAGGAAACUGGGGCUAAUACCGGAUAGGAGCUCCUGCUGCAUGGUGGGGGUUGGAAAGUUUCGGCGGUUGGGGAUGGACUCGCGGCUUAUCAGCUUGUUGGUGGGGUAGUGGCUUACCAAGGCUUUGACGGGUAGCCGGCCUGAGAGGGUGACCGGCCACAUUGCGACUGAGAUACGGCCCAGACUCCUACGGGAGGCAGCAGUGGGGAAUAUUGCACAAUGGGCGGAAGCCUGAUGCAGCAACGCCGCGUGCGGGAUGACGGCCUUCGGGUUGUAACCCGCUUUCGCCUGUGACGAAGCGUGAGUGACGGUAAUGGGUAAAGAAGCACCGGCUAACUACGUG